AAACUUCAUGCUGCACCUCGACUUUGCUUUGCUCCUCCUCCACGUUCUCGUGAAUGUCCUCACUGGCAGGAGGUGCUCGCUGUGUGUCGUCCACUGUGGCAUCUGUUGCAUGCAUGGAAUCCGGUGCACCACUCUCCAUCUCUGGCACUGCCAACUUUUCUCCCUCUUGCAGGAUCGCGACUGAAGCACUCUCCCUGGGCUCGACAUUCUCCACCUGGUCAUCCACAGCCACCUUGGCCGGCUCUAUGCUCUCUUCCUCCUUGAUUUCCUCGUGUGCGGGUAAGACGUCAUCCACUGUCGCGGUUGGUACUUGAGCUACAACUGGCUCGGCCGGUUGCACCUCCUUGGCCGCCUCUUCAGCAGCCUCAGGCACGGCCUCUGUCUCGGGAACGGCCUCAAGCACAUGCUGUGGCUCCUGGACUUCUUUGUUCCCCGACUGUGGGGGUUCUUCUACUGGGACAGCAAGCUUGACCUCGCGUUCGGAAACUUCAUGCUGCACCUCGACUUUGCUUUGCUCCUCUUCCACGUUCUCGUGAAUGUCCUCACUGGCAGGAGGUGCUCGCUGUGUGUCGUCCACUGUGGCAUCUGUCGCAUGCAUGGAAUCCGGUGCACCACUCUCGAUCUCUGGCACCGCCAACUUUUCUCCCUCGUCCAGGAUCGCGACUGAAGCACUCUCCCUGGGCUUGACAUUAUCCACGUGGUCAUCCACAGCCACCUUGGCCGGCUCUAUGCUCUCUUCCUCCUUGAUUUCCUCGUGUGCGGGUAAGAUGUCAUCCACUGUGGCAGUUGGUACUUGAGCUACGACUGGCUCCGCCGGUUCCACCUCCAUGGCAGCCUCUUCGGCAGCUUCAGGCACGUCCUCAUGCUCGGGAACGGCCUCAGGCACAGGCUGUGGCUCCUGGACGGCUUCGUUCACCAACUGUGGGCGUCCCUCUACUGGUAUGGCAAUCUCAACCUCGCGUUGGGAAACUUCAUGUAUCACUGUGACGUUGGUUUGCUCCUCUUCCACAUUCUCGUGAAUGUCUUCACUGGCAGAAGAUGCUCGCUGUGUGUCCUCCAGGGUGGCAUCUGUUGCAUGCAUGGAAUCCGGUGCAGCACUGUCAAUCUCUGGCACCGCCAACUUUUCUCCCUCGUCCAGGAUCGCGACUGAAGCACUCUCCCGGGGCUCGACCUUCUCUACCUUGUCAUCCAGAGCCACCUUGGCCGGCUCUAUGCUCUCUUCCUCCUUGAUUUCUUCGUGUGUGGGUAAGAUGUCAUCCACUGUGGCGGUCGGUACUUGAGCUACGACUGGCUCGGCUGGUUGCACCUCUUUGGCAGCCUCUUCAGAAGCCUCAGGCACGGCCUCUGUCUCGGGAACGGCCUCAAGCACAGGCUGUGGCUCCUGGACUUCUUCGUUCCCUGACGGUGGGAGUUCUUCUACUGGGACAGCAAGCUCAACCUCGCGUUCCGAAACUUCAUGCUGCACCUCGACUUUGGUUUGCUCCUCUUCCACGUUGUCGUGAAUGUCCUCACUGGCAGGAGAUGCUCGCUGUGUGUCGUCCACUGUGGCAUCUGUCGCAUGCAUGGAAUCCGGUGCACCACUCUCGAUCUCUGGCACUGCCAACUUUUCUCCCUCCUGCAGGAUCGCGACUGAAGCACUCUCCCUGGGCUCGACAUUCUCCACCUGGUCAUCCACAGCCACCUUGGCCGGCUCUAUGCUCUCUUCCUCCUUGAUUUCCUCGUGUGCGGGUAAGACGUCAUCCACUUUCGCGGUUGGUACUUGAGCUACAACUGGCUCGGCCGGUUGCACCUCUUUGGCAUCCUCUUCAGAAGCCUCAGGCACGGCCUCUGUCUCGGGAACGGCCUCAAGCACAGGCUGUGGCUGCUGGACUUCUUCGUUCCCUGACUGUGGGAGUUCUUCUACUGGGACGGCAAGCUCGACCUUGCGUUCGGAAACUUCAUGCUGCACCUCGACUUUGGUUUGCUCCUCUUCCACGUUGUCGUGAAUGUCCUCACUGGCAGGAGAUGCUCGCUGUGUGUCGUCCACUGUGGCAUCUGUCACAUGGAUGGAAUCUGGAGCAGCACUCUCGAUCUCUGGCACCGCCAACUUUUCUCCCUCCUGCAGGAUCGCGACUGAAGCACUCUCCCUGGGCUUGAAAUUCUCCACCUGGUCAUCCACAGCCACCUUGGCCUGCUCUAUGCUCUCUUCCUCCUUGAUUUCCUCGUGUGCGGGUAAGACGUCAUCCACUUUCGCGGUUGGUACUUGAGCUACAACUGGCUCGGCUGGUUGCACCUCUUUGGCAUCCUCUUCAGAAGCCUCAGGCACGGCCUCUGUCUCGGGAACGGCCUCAAGCACAGGCUGUGGCUCCUGGACUUCUUCGUUCCCCGACUGUGGGAGUUCUUCUACUGGGACAGCAAGCUCGACCUCGCGUUCCGAAACUUCAUGCUGCACCUCGACUUUGCUUUGCUCCUCUUCCACGUUGUCGUGAAUGUCCUCACUGGCAGGAGGUGCUCGCUGUGUGUCGUCCACUGUGGCAUCUGUCGCAUGCAUGGAAUCCAGUGCACCACUCUCGAUCUCUGGCACCGCCAACUUUUCUCCCUCCUGCAGGAUCGCGACUGAAGCACUCUCCCUGGGCUCGACAUUCUCCACCUGGUCAUCCACAGCCACCUUGGCCGGCUCUAUGCUCUCUUCCUCCUUGAUUUCCUCGUGUGCGGGUAAGACGUCAUCCACUUUCGCGGUUGGUACUUGAGCUACAACUGGCUCGGCUGGUUGCACCUCUUUGGCAUCCUCUUCAGAAGCCUCAGGCACGGCCUCUGUCUCGGGAACGGCCUCAAGCACAGGCUGUGGCUCCUGGACUUCUUCGUUCCCUGACGGUGGGAGUUCUUCUACUGGGACAGCAAGCUCGACCUCGCGUUCGGAAACUUCAUGCUGCACCUCGACUUUGCUUUGCUCCUCUUCCACGUUCUCGUGAAUGUCCUCACUGGCAGGAGAUGCUCGCUGUGUGUCGUCCACUGUGGCAUCUGUCGCAUGCAUGGAUCCCAGUGCAACACUCUCGAUCUCUGGCACCGCCACUUUUCUCCCUCCUGCAGGAUCGCGACUGAAGCACUCUCCCUGGGCUUGAAAUUCUCCACCUGGUCAUCCACAGCCACCUUGGCCUGCUCUAUGCUCUCUUCCUCCUUGAUUUCCUCGUGUGCGGGUAAGACGUCAUCCACUUUCGCGGUUGGUACUUGAGCUACAACUGGCUCGGCUGGUUGCACCUCUUUGGCAUCCUCUUCAGAAGCCUCAGGCACGGCCUCUGUCUCGGGAACGGCCUCAAGCACAGGCUGUGGCUCCUGGACUUCUUCGUUCCCCGACUGUGGGAGUUCUUCUACUGGGACAGCAAGCUCGACCUCGCGUUCGGAAACUUCAUGCUGCACCUCGACUUUGCUUUGCUCCUCUUCCACGUUGUCGUGAAUGUCCUCACUGGCAGGAGGUGCUCGCUGUGUGUCGUCCACUGUGGCAUCUGUCGCAUGCAUGGAAUCCAGUGCACCACUCUCGAUCUCUGGCACCGCCAACUUUUCUCCCUCCUGCAGGAUCGCGACUGAAGCACUCUCCCUGGGCUCGACAUUCUCCACCUGGUCAUCCACAGCCACCUUGGCCGGCUCUAUGCUCUCUUCCUCCUUGAUUUCCUCGUGUGCGGGUAAGACGUCAUCCACUUUCGCAGUUGGUACUUGAGCUACAACUGGCUCGGCUGGUUGCACCUCUUUGGCAUCCUCUUCAGAAGCCUCAGGCACGGCCUCUGUCUCGGGAACGGCCUCAAGCACAGGCUGUGGCUCCUGGACUUCUUCGUUCCCUGACGGUGGGAGUUCUUCUACUGGGACAGCAAGCUCGACCUCGCGUUCGGAAACUUCAUGCUGCACCUCGACUUUGGUUUGCUCCUCUUCCACGUUGUCGUGAAUGUCCUCACUGGCAGGAGGUGCUCGCUGUGUGUCGUCCACUGUGGCAUCUGUCGCAUGCAUGGAAUCCGGUGCACCACUCUCGAUCUCUGGCACCGCCAACUUUUCUCCCUCCUGCAGGAUCGCGACUGAAGCACUCUCCCUGGGCUCGACAUUCUCCACCUGGUCAUCCACAGCCACCUUGGCCGGCUCUAUGCUCUCUUCCUCCUUGAUUUCCUCGUGUGCGGGUAAGACGUCAUCCACUUUCGCAGUUGGUACUUGAGCUACAACUGGCUCGGCUGGUUGCACCUCUUUGGCAUCCUCUUCAGAAGCCUCAGGCACGGCCUCUGUCUCGGGAACGGCCUCAAGCACAGGCUGUGGCUCCUGGACUUCUUCGUUCCCUGACGGUGGGAGUUCUUCUACUGGGACAGCAAGCUCGACCUCGCGUUCGGAAACUUCAUGCUGCACCUCGACUUUGCUUUGCUCCUCUUCCACGUUCUCGUGAAUGUCCUCACUGGCAGGAGGUGCUCGCUGUGUGUCGUCCACUGUGGCAUCUGUCACAUGGAUGGAAUCCGGUGCACCACUCUCGAUCUCUGGCACCGCCAACUUUUCUCCCUCCUGCAGGAUCGCGACUGAAGCACUCUCCCUGGGCUCGACAUUCUCCACCUGGUCAUCCACAGCCACCUUGGCCGGCUCUAUGCUCUCUUCCUCCUUGAUUUCCUCGUGUGCGGGUAAGACGUCAUCCACUUUCGCAGUUGGUACUUGAGCUACAACUGGCUCGGCUGGUUGCACCUCUUUGGCAGCCUCUUCAGAAGCCUCAGGCACGGCCUCUGUCUCGGGAACGGCCUCAAGCACAGGCUGUGGCUGCUGGACUUCUUCGUUCCCUGACGGUGGGAGUUGUUCUACUGGGACAGCAAGCUCGACCUCGCGUUCGGAAACUUCAUGCUGCACCUCGACUUUGCUUUGCUCCUCUUCCACGUUGUCGUGAAUAUCCUCACUGGCAGGAGGUGCUCGCUGUGUGUCGUCCACUGUGGCAUCUGUCGCAUGCAUGGAAUCUGGAGCACCACUCUCGAUCUCUGGCACCGCCAACUUUUCUCCCUCCUGCAGGAUCGCGACUGAAGCACUCUCCCUGGGCUCGACAUUCUCCACCUGGUCAUCCACAGCCACCUUGGCCGGCUCUA
rnacentral:lncRNA from 1 species